rnacentral:rRNA from 1 species
CAGUAGCCACGGGAAUACGAACCGUGCGAACGUUAUUCGGAAUUACUGGGCUUAAAGCGCGUGUAGGCGGCUGGGCGCGUCGGAUGUUGAAAGCCCCCGGCUCAACCGGGGAAGUGGCACCGAUACGGCCGAGCUGGAGGAAGGUAGGGGGGUCUGGAACUUCCGGUGGAGCGGUGAAAUGCGUUGAGAUCGGAAAGAACACCAACGGCGAAAGCACUCUGCUGGGCCGACACUGACACUGAGAGACGAAAGCUAGGGGAGCAAAUGGGAUUAGAGACCCGAGUAGUCCCUGUCUCUUAUA